rnacentral:hammerhead_ribozyme from 1 species
AUUCAUCUGACGAGUCCCAAAUAGGAUGAAACGCGUGUCCUGGAU